UCCGGAUUUGGAGCUGACGUGCUCGCCUUGCCUCAGGUACGUCGUCCCGCACUCUUCUCCAUCCAUCCUUCCCCUUCUCGCGGCCGUUCCUCGUGGCUAGGCUGACUUCGUCCUCGUGCUGCAGUUGGUUCCGGAUUUGGCCACACGCUCGCGUCCGUCGUCCGUCGUUUGCUCGGCCGUCGCCAUGGGAAAGGUUCAUUCUUCUUUCUUUGUUAGUCCUUUCGUUUUUCCUGCUCGCUGUGCAUCCGUGCGUGGCUCACGCCGUGGUUGUUCUUUGCGGAUGAACAGGGAGGUGGAUAUGGUUUGUUCCUUCUUCGGAUUUGGCCGUGCUUGGUCCUGCUUUUCUGUUUCAGGUGCGGAUCUGAACCAUCCACAUAUGCGUUUAUUUUUUGUUGAUUCUUUAACUGUCCGCUGUUGCCGUUGCAUGGUUGUCUGGUUUGGGUAUGUAAGAUUACAAUCAAACUGAACUAUAACAAUUUAUACAGCAUAGUUAGGUAUCAAACUAAUUAUGUAUUCACGUGAAGACUAUGCAAAGCAAAUGGAUGUACAGUCGUUACAUAUGUUCAGGUUUAGGAGAUUUACCAUGACAGCUUGUGACAGAUGCAAAACAUGGAUGCAAGCAAGUGUGAUUGUAUGAUGGUUGUGAGGUGUGUGCACUCGGUUGCUGUUGUUUUAUCGCAGUUGGUGUAUUGUAAAAUCAAGCACUAAACAAUUGGCAGUAUCUUUUAUAAUCUUGGGUGUUGUUAUUUCUAAUGUGUAAGAUUGGUUGUACAUCAUUCGUAGUUUGUGUUGUUCGGCACAUAACUCGCUCCUCAUUGUAAAAUGAUGAUGGUUUGUGAUGUGUUGUCCUGCACAUCACUAAGUAAUGAUGCAUUUCUGUGGGAAGCUUCUGAUAAACUGUAAUUAUGCUUGCUGUUAUGUGCCAGGUUCGUCGCUGCAGUUGUUGUGGUGUCUCUAGCUGUUAUUCAUUCCCAUUGACACGUUUCGCCUAGCUGUUUCGCCUAGCUCUCAGGUGCUUUUCUUCUAACUUUUUUAUGUUACUGUUAUUUACCUUUGCAUGUUGAUCUAUGGUGGGGUCUAUUUUUGGGCACUACCUUCUGGCUGAUCGGUUCUAAGUUUUGGUUUUGGGGUGCUUUCUAGCUUUUUUGUGUGAGUGGCCUUAUUCUAGGUUAUAUUUUGUGGGUGGCAGGAUGUUUGCUGUGAGUUGUUCGUAUAUGCAUCUAUUGGAUGUGGUUGCCACCCGGUGUUCGUUGCCAUUCCAUUCGUACUUGAGAGAGAUAAUGGACGAUGGGGUCGUGCUCGGAGGAGUUGAGCUCGAAUUUGAUGUGCCCGGAAGUGAUUCCGGGAGCAUGAGGAGGUUUUUUUGGGCUCAAGAUGGUGUGGAUUUUCUCUCUCUUUACGAGAAGGCUGCUUUCCAGGCCAUUUGCUUCUUACAGAGUUUGUAUGGGUUUGUGAUUCUGGACUAUAAUUUUGAGUGUAUGUCGACUUACAGGGAGCUUGCUCGCUCUGCAGUUCUUUUAGCUGCAACGAUGGUUAGGUCUGCGGUGCCUGUUGGUUGUGCCGAUGCCCUUGUUGCUGUGAUUGACCAUGAUGUCCUUUUGCAGCGGCAGAUGUUGCACGCCAGAUUGGUCUCGACGGCGUGCAAUAUUUAGUUUUUAUUUAUAUUGUGUGAGUUGUUUCUAUUUCUUUUGUUUUCCAUUGCUCCUAAAAUGUACAUUGGAGUUGGCGUGGCUGUAUUCAGAUAAAUGAACUGCUCUUUAGACAUUAUUUGUAUUUGUUAUGUACCUACUUAAUCAUUGUUAUGUUCAUUGUUGCUACUUUUACCACCGUUUCCUAAUUGUCAUGCUGAGAUCAUGCUG
rnacentral:lncRNA from 1 species